UACGUAGGGGGCGAGCGUUGUCCGGAUUUAUUGGGCGUAAAGAGCGUGUAGGCGGCCAGGUAGGUCCGUUGUGAAAACUCGAGGCUCAACCUCGAGACGUCGGCGGAAACCCUCUGGCUAGAGUCCGGAAGAGGAGACUGGAAUUUACGGUGUAGCGGUGAAAUGCGUAGAUAUCGUAAGGAAGACCAGUGGCGAAGGCGGGUCUCUGGACAGUUCCUGACGCUGAGGCACGAAGGCCAGGGGAGCAAACGGG
rnacentral:rRNA from 1 species